CCAGAGAACUUAGCAGAGAUGCUUGGUGCCUUCGGGAACUCUGAGACAGGUGCUGCAUGGCUGUCGUCAGCUCGUGUUGUGAAAUGUUGGGUUAAGUCCCGCAACGAGCGCAACCCUUAUCCUUUGUUGCCAGCGGCUCGGCCGGGAACUCAAAGGAGACUGCCGGUGAUAAACCGGAGGAAGGUGGGGAUGACGUCAAGUCAUCAUGGCCCUUACGGCCAGGGCUACACACGUGCUACAAUGGCGCAUACAAAGAGAAGCGACCUCGCGAGAGCAAGCGGACCUCACAAAGUGCGUCGUAGUCCGGAUUGGAGUCUGCAACUCGACUCCAUGAAGUCGGAAUCGCUAGUAAUCGUAGAUCAGAAUGCUACGGUGAAUACGUUCCCGGGCCUUGUACACACCGCCCGUCACACCAUGGGAGUGGGUUGCAAAAGAAGUAGGUAGCUUAACCUUCGGGAGGGCGCUUACCACUUUGUGAUUCAUGACUGGGGUGAAGUCGUAACAAGGUAGGCGUAGCGAG
rnacentral:rRNA from 1 species